rnacentral:rRNA from 1 species
UACGUAGGGUGCAAGCGUUGUCCAGAAUUAUUGGGCGUAAAGGGCUCGUAGGCGGUCCAUCGCGUCGGGAGUGAAAAGCUGGGGCUCAACCCCAGUCCUGCUUCCGAUACGGGUGGACUAGAGGUAGGCAGGGGAGAACGGAAUUCCUGGUGUAGCGGUGAAAUGCGCAGAUAUCAGGAGGAACACCAAUGGCGAAAGCAGCUUUCUGGGACGGUACUGACGCUGAGACGCGAAAGCGUGGGGAGCGAACAGG